GUCAGUGUGAGGUAGUGGUUUGAGUGCUGGACUAGGACUCUGGAGACCAGAGUUCAAAUCCUGGCUCAGCCA